ACACGACUACAUUAGAUACCCCUGUAGUCCAGGGUGUAAACGCUGCGGGCUUGGUGUUGGGGGGUCCUUUGAGGGCGCCCAGUGCCGGAGAGAAGUUGUUAAGCCUGCUGCUUGGGGAGUACGUCCGCAAGGAUGAAACUUAAAGGAAUUGGCGGGGAGCACCGCAACGGGAGGAGCGUGCGGUUCAAUUGGAUUCAACGCCGGACAACUCACCAGCAGCGACUGUUACAUGAAAGUCAGGUUGAUGACCUUACUAGAUUUUCAG
rnacentral:rRNA from 1 species